AGGAUGCUCAACUUACCUCUACACCCCAUAUUUUUGGGGCCUUCUGGAAAGUUUUUUUAUCAGUUAGUUGCCAAUGAUAUUCUCGAUUUUAAGGGUAGGACUGGUGAAAUUGUCUUGGCAAAGAUGCAUAAGUGGACUCAUCAACGGGACUGGACUCAAUAUGUGCCUAAUGAAGGCCGAUUUGUUGCUAAUGAAGGCCGAUUUGUUGCUAUAUUGCAAAAGACUGCAAAUGUAUCAGAUGAUGUACAGGCAUUUCUAAGAUAAGGGCGAAAUGUAGUCGUCCAUGCUAAUAAGGGCGUUGCUAAAAGGAGGAAGUUGGCCUCACACACCAGCUUGAAUACGUGGAUUGCGGACAUUGUGGAGGAGGUUGUUGCUCGCCUCGACAGGAUAUGGACGGGGUUUGUCAAUUCCAUUCAUAGGAUUUAUAGCAAGCAUAAUAUUGUCAUUCAAGUUGAUGAUCGAAGAAUAAUUUGGAUCGGUGAUAAUGAAAUCCAAAAUUUCUGCACUAUACACUACUUUAAUUGGCACUACAGCAAGAGCCACCUAGCUAUUUCGUGGGGCCGCAGGAGAGGAAGGUGCAACAUGCUGUAAUGCAACGUUUCGCUUUAGGGCACCAAAAGUUGGUACUAGACAUUGUUUGAAAUAGUAUUAGACAUUGUUUGUCUUAUGAAUCUGCAUAUUAUAAAACCCAGUGAUUUAUGUUACGAAAAAAUGAGAA